CUCUACCGUGUUACCGUCAAGCUCAAGGAACGACUCCAAGCUCGAUAUCUGCUGUUUCAGAUCGUAAUCAAACGCGUAACUCGGUUCCUGAAACUCGUCCCCAUUCCCAAAUCCAAUGCAAUCAACCGGGUAAAUCGGCUGAGUUAACUCGCUCUGGGAGGAAACGCAGAGCUUCUUCGCCGGAGGCUGAUCAAUCGAUCGUGGAGGUGACGGCGGGGGAGGAUGAUGAAGAAGAUCUGGGAAGUUGAGCUUGGCUUUAUCGCCGCGGAUCCGCUUCGCCGCAGCGUCAUAAGCCAUAGCGGCUUCCUCCGCCGUGUUGAACGUCCCAAGCCA
rnacentral:lncRNA from 1 species